rnacentral:tRNA from 1 species
GUCUUCGUGGUGUAAUGGUCAGCACACUCGGCGCGUAUUCGGGAGGUCCGAGGUUCGAGUCUCGGCGAAGGCA